UACGGAAGGGGCAAGCGUUGUUCGGAAUCAUUGGGCGUAAAGGGCGCGUAGGUGGUUCUGUAUGUCUACCGUGAAAGCGUACGGCUCAACUGUAUUUUGUCGGUGGAAACUGCAGGACUUGAGGCUGGGAGGGGCUGGUGGAAUUCCCUGUGUAGCGGUGAAAUGCGUAGAGAUGGGGGAGAACACUCGUGGCGAAGGCGGCCAGCUAGACCAGUUCUGACACUGAGGCGCGACAGGGUGGGGAGCAAACAGG
rnacentral:rRNA from 1 species